AGUGAACGCUGGCGGUAGGCCUAACACAUGCAAGUCGAACGGCAGCACAGUAAGAGUUUGCUUUUACGGGUGGCGAGUGGCGGACGGGUGAGGAAUACAUCGGAAUCUACUUUUUCGUGGGGGAUAACGUAGGGAAACUUACGCUAAUACCGCAUACGACCUACGGGUGAAAGCAGGGGAUCUUCGGACCUUGCGCGAUUGAAUGAGCCGAUGUCGGAUUAGCUAGUUGGCGGGGUAAAGGCCCACCAAGGCGACGAUCCGUAGCUGGUCUGAGAGGAUGAUCAGCCACACUGGAACUGAGACACGGUCCAGACUCCUACGGGAGGCAGCAGUGGGGAAUAUUGGACAAUGGGCGCAAGCCUGAUCCAGCCAUACCGCGUGGGUGAAGAAGGCCUUCGGGUUGUAAAGCCCUUUUGUUGGGAAAGAAAAGCAGCAGGUUAAUACCCCGCUGUUCUGACGGUACCCAAAGAAUAAGCACCGGCUAACUUCGUG
rnacentral:rRNA from 1 species